ACCGCAACUCUUAUAAAAGAAAGCAUUGAAUUGAGGAUGGCUUACAGUUCAGAGGUUCAGACCAUUGUCAUCAUGUUGGGGAAGCAUGGGAACAUGCAGGCGGACAUGGAGCUGGGGAGUAGCUGAGUGUUCUACAUCGGGAUCAGCAGGCAACAGGGACAGUAAGAGGUGUCAAGAUGGUACUCAACUGUAAGAAGUGGGAGAGGAGGAACUGGAGAUCCCUACCCUAGGAGUCAGCUUUCAUCAAGGAAGAAACUCCUCUCCUAAGCCACUUCUAGCUGCUGCAGUGCUGUGACUUGACCUGUCUGCGAACGUCACAAGGAGAGACUGAACAAGAAGUGUGUGAACGGAAUGAGAGGUUCCAGAGUUGCCACAGCAUCCCUUUCAUUGGCCAAAAUUGUGCUACUUAGGACAAGGCUCAGUCUGUAGAGGGAAAGAUGGUCUCUCAGGCUUCGCAGGUUACGCGACCUUUGCUGCAAUGUGUAUCGGCUCUGCUGUUGUAGCACACAGUUAUGAAUAGUAUGUGAAGAAAUGAAUCUAUCUAUACUUUAAUAAAACUU
rnacentral:lncRNA from 1 species